rnacentral:rRNA from 1 species
AGACGGAGGGUGCAAGCGUUGUUCGGAAUUACUGGGCGUAAAGAGCGUGUAGGCGGUUUGAUAAGUCGAGUGUGAAAGCCCGAGGCUCAACUUCGGAAGUGCACUCGAAACUGUCAGGCUUGAGUACGGGAGAGGGAAGUGGAAUUCCUGGUGUAGAGGUGAAAUUCGUAGAUAUCAGGAGGAACACCGGUGGCGAAGGCGGCUUCCUGGACCGAUACUGACGCUGAGACGCGAAAGCGUGGGGAGCAAACAGGAUUAGAUACCCUGGUAGUCCACGCCGUAAACGGUGAGCACUAGGUGUAGCGGGUAUUGACCCCUGCUGUGCCGCAGCUAACGCAUUAAGUGCUCCGCCUGGGGAGUACGGUCGCAAGAUUAAA